ensembl:lncRNA
GCUUAAGUCUGUGGGCCACUGUUUUUGGUCAACACAGGACUUGAGACGUUUACCAAUAUCGCUUCAAAGUGGGCAUAUUUGCAAAUGAGGACGUGAGACAGAAUAUUGUUUGUGCAUGAUGCAGUGAACCAGACGUAUCCAGGGCAACACCAAUGGCUAAUAAGCUCUCAUUCACGUUUCAUAUUCUCGCUGCUGGAGAUGUAUGGAAAACACAGAAGGACUAUGAGGCUUGAGAUAUCUCCCUUUUAUUUUGUUUUUAGUCAACACUGUUUUGUACAAAGAGACAGAAGAAUAUAUCUUAGCACUUAUUUUCACACUGUGUCUGUAUUCUCAAUAGCUUAAGUAUUGUGAAAUGUCUCAUUAAAUUAUUAUUGUAGUCUUAACACAUGUAAUCUCUCUAUACAAAAAC